rnacentral:sRNA from 1 species
UAUUUCCUUUUACCUUUGCUUGAUGCGAUAAUUGAGAAAAUUUCAGAAUGGUUUAACAAACAUAGGAAGGAGUCUGUUAAAUAUUCUGAAACAAGGGGUCUUGUGCCGGUUGUGGAGAACGAAAUACACUCCUUAUGCCCAAUUGCGAAAACGAUGCCGGUCACCGAGCUUAACAGGUUUGAACGUCAAUACAGCGUCAUUGACGAAGGUGGUAUGUCUUAUUCUGUUGACUUGCUAAGGAAAACUUGUUCUUGCCGACGUUUUGAUGUUGACAAGUACCCGUGUGUACAUGCGAUUGCCGCUGCCCGAAACUUUGUGGGGACCGAAUGGAUAUUAGAUGGUCUCGAAAUGGAAGACCUAACUUCGCAUUAUUACCAUAUGAAUAUGUGGAUAUUGGCAUACCACAUAACCAUUUAUACAGUCCCACAUUCAUCAGUUUGGAUUAUUUCUGAUGAGAUAAGACAAUUGAUAGUCUUACCGCCGGAUACAACAACUAAACCGGGGAGAAAUCAAGAAACCCGGUUUCCAUCAACAGGGGAACGUCGUCGAAAGAGGACUAACAACAAGUUUCAGCCUGGGAUUAAUAUCAACGCGUGGUUGCAGCCCGAGGAGUCCGAUUCAUAAUUAAAUGUGUAUUUUGUGUUGUGUUGUUAUGUCUGUACCGUGUACUUGUGUUGUAUGUACUAUUGCUUCAUGUAUUAUGUCUUCAUUUUUAAGUACUUUGGAAUUUUCUUAAGUAUUGUGUUGUUAUGUCUGUACCGUGUACUUGUGUCGUCUGAACUAUUGCUUCAUUUUUAAGUACUUUGGAAUUUUGUUAAGUGUUAUUAUGUAUGUACCUUGUACUUGUACCGUAUGUACUAGUUCUUUCAUGUUUAUCUCUUACAAUAAAACCCAUCCUAUAUAUAUAAGAAAGAAAUAUAAUUUUAGUAUUCUUUUUUUUUACUUAAAUUUGCUUCAAUUUAAUUUAAUUUAAAUAUUUUUAUUAUAUCAAAAAUAUGGGUU